rnacentral:tRNA from 1 species
GCCAGAGUGGUGAAAUUGGUAUACACGCGGCACUUAAAAUGCCGUUUCCGAAAGGAAGUACGGGUUCAAGUCCCGUCUCUGGUACAA